UUGAACGCUGGCGGAAUGCUUUACACAUGCAAGUCGAGCGGCAGCGCGGGGCAACCUGGCGGCGAGCGGCGAACGGGUGAGUAAUAUAUCGGAACGUACCCUGUCGUGGGGGAUAACACAUCGAAAGAUGUGCUAAUACCGCAUACGACCUGAGGGUGAAAGCGGGGGAUCGCAAGACCUCGCGCGAUAGGAGCGGCCGAUAUCGGAUUAGCUAGUUGGUGAGGUAAAGGCUCACCAAGGCGACGAUCCGUAGCUGGUCUGAGAGGACGACCAGCCACACUGGAACUGAGACACGGUCCAGACUCCUACGGGAGGCAGCAGUGGGGAAUUUUGGACAAUGGGGGAAACCCUGAUCCAGCCAUUCCGCGUGAGUGAAGAAGGCCUUCGGGUUGUAAAGCUCUUUCAGCCGGGAAGAAAAUGUACGGGCUAAUACCCUGUGCAGAUGACGGUACCGGCAUAAGAAGCACCGGCUAACUACGU
rnacentral:rRNA from 1 species